UGAGGUUGAAGAGGUGUCUCUGUGUCACUU
rnacentral:piRNA from 1 species